rnacentral:rRNA from 1 species
UACGUAGGGGGCAAGCGUUGUCCGGAUUUAUUGGGCGUAAAGAGCGUGUAGGCGGCCAUGUAGGUCCGUUGUGAAAACUCGAGGCUCAACCUCGAGACGCCGAUGGAAACCAUGUGGCUAGAGUCCGGAAGAGGAGAGUGGAAUUCCUGGUGUAGCGGUGAAAUGCGCAGAUAUCAGGAAGAACACCAACGGCGAAGGCAGCUCGCUGGGACGGAACUGACGCUAAGGCGCGAAAGCGUGGGGAGCGAACAGG